GAUGAAAAGUCCGUCCACAGUGAUCGAUCGUCCCCCACUCAUCAACAACUGAGCAACAGUGGCAUCCAGUACCGACAGUCACCAUGGACGGACAUGGACAUGGGCAUGGACGCAACUCUAAGCUUUGACUUAUUUCCCAAUCUCAACUCAACACAUUACAUUUUACAUCCCCUAGCUUUUGACCGACUGUUUGGUUCCCAGAGUAUGCACACGAAAGAAUUUGUAGCAGUAUCAGACAAUUUGAUGAUGACGGACGCGGAAGAAGAAGAAGAAGAAGAAGACGAAAAAGAGGAAAAAACUUUGGACACCUCUCUCUGACAUGGCGAUGAGCUAGGACUUGGCGGCGGUAUGGAGUGCCAUGAUGAUGAGCUAAUCAAGACAUGGCCGAAAUUCAAUCACCGUCUCGGCGAGCAAUUCUUGCUUCUGAAAUUCGAUCCGAGCUAGAGCAUCCAGUCGAGCCGGUUGGUGGGCGGCGGGGGCGCGCCGGCGGAGGACGCGGUGGAGCUGUCGGUGGUGGUGGAGGAGGAGGAGGACGUGGUCGGCAGCGACGACAGCAGGUCGAACAUCUCCCACCGCGUCGUCUGCGCCGGGGGCUGCGGAGGCUGUUGCUGGCGUUGGCGCUGCGACUGCGGCUGCGGCUGCGGCUGCUGCUGCUGCCUCGCCGGCGUUGGCUGUGGCGCCGCCUGCUGCGGCUGCUUCUUCGCGCUGGCGGGUUUGGGCGCGAUGGCGGCGUUCUUGGCCAUGACCGCGUCGAGCGUCUCCACGUACUUCUGCACCCGCUUCACCUGCACACGCCUCUGCGCCUUGACGUCGCCGCCGGCGACCACCGCGUCCAGCUUGAGCAGCUCGUUCAUCAGCAGCUCCGUCACCGUCGCCACGUCCUUCUCCGCCACCUUCUCCCCCUUCCGCACCGACGCCUCCAGCGCCGACACCUGCCCAGCAAAAUCAACCACCGGUCAACUCCUCUGCUCUGCUCCCAACCCCGGCUCGGAAAAACACGGACCGGCAAUGCGCGUACCUUGGGCGCGAUCUUGUCGACCUCGGCGGCGACGGCGGCGACGGCGCCGGCGGCCUUGCGGAGGCUGCCCUGGCGGAGCUCCUCGAGCAGCCGCCGCGCGCGGGCCUCGGGGUCGUCGACCACGGCGACCUUGGAGCGGUCCCUCACCCCCGCCAUGUCGAGGAACGCCUUGGGGUCCUGCUCCUUGCCCUUGUACAGCGUGCGCAGGUCCUCCGGGUGCGCGCCGGCGCGCUCCGCCACCCGCCUCCGCAGGUCGCCGAACGUGGCCUCCGCGCUGACGUAGAUCUCGUGGGUCUUGCCGGCGAGCCUCGCCUUGACCCGGAUGGUGGGCACCGGCUUCACGCUCUCCGGCGCCGGCUCGUCCUCCUCGGGGCCCCGCUUCUGCACCAGCAUCCCGCCCGGCCGCACCUCCCACACCUCCUCCGCCGACACCUUCCCCGCCCCCACCGCCACCGCCGGCGCCUUCUUCCCCUCCUCCACCGGCACCGCCGGGGGAGCCGGAGGGGGGGCGCCCUUCCUCCUCAUCGUCAGCGAGCCGAGCUCCACAGUCGCGGCGCCUUUCCUCACCCCAGCAUGGUGACCGCCGCCGCCCCCCGAAUUGGCGCGCUUUGCAGCCGUAAAUUAAAGGUGGCUAGCUAGCUUAUCACGCCGAGGCCAGCAGAACAGUGGCGGGAAGCCGACUAAAGCGACAGGAAAAGCAAGCCGCUGCGGCGCGCGAGCGAGCUCGGGCACCGAGGCAAUGGCGGAUCGGAGGAGAAGAAGAAGAUGGAUGGAAUGGAGGGGCGGACGGACGGCGAGGAGGGAGUGUAUUUAGCGGGAGCUUAAGCGCAACAGACAAGGGGAAUAUAUACGCGGAUUACAGUAUAGCCCACUUGCCACAUGGCGAACACAUCAUCAAAACCGAAAUCACAAGAGGCUAAAUUAUUGCUUGAUGCCGCUAACAACAACUAAUCAAACACACAUGGAAUUUUGGCGGCAUUUCAACCUGAUUUGACGCGGUGCAAUGCAAACUGUAGAAGCUCGCCGGAAGAUGCACGCACGCUGCUGUCUGUAGGCGUAGGUGUGGGUGGCAAUGGCGCCAUCAGAGAUGACAAAUUAGCGGCAGCAUUUUCUUGCUUUAUCUUUCUUGUUCUUAUUCGUCUCUGCACUGUCUGACCGACAAUUCCUGCUGGCUUAGAAUAAAACCAAGGAGAUGAUUUCUUAUAAAUUGGGGGCGUUUU
rnacentral:lncRNA from 1 species